rnacentral:ncRNA from 1 species
ACUCUAGUUUGACAUAGUGAAGGGAUGUGGAGGGCGUGGUAUAGGUGGAAGCUUCGGAUCCCAUGAAAUACUCCCACCCCUUUUAUUUUACUCACAGGGUGAAGGUUUACCAGUCAAAAGACUACCUUCAAAUAUUUCAUUUGAUCAGCUCUAGACAUCGCCUAAUGGGGAGU